rnacentral:rRNA from 1 species
UACGUAGGCGGAAAAUUAAGUCAGUAGUGAAAUCCCGCAGCUUAACUGUAGAACUGUUAUUGAUACUGGUUUUCUUGAAUAUAGUUGAAGUAGGCGGAAUGUGUAAUGUAGCGGUGAAAUGCUUAGAUAUUACACAGAACACCGAUUGCGAAGGCAGCUUACUAAGCUAUGAUUGACGCUGAGGUACGAAAGCGUGGGGAGCGAACAGGAUUAGAUACCCUGGUAGUCC